GUGCUUGCUUCGGCAGCACAUAUACUAAAAUUCGAUGAUACAGAGAAGAUUAAAAUGGCCCCUGCACAAGGUGACACGCAAAUUUGUGAAGCGUUCCAUAUUUUA